ACUGGAAUUCCUGGUGUAGCGGUGAAAUGCGCAGAUAUCAGGAGGAACACCGAUGGCGAAGGCAGGUCUCUGGGCAUUAACUGACGCUGAGGAGCGAAAGCAUGGGGAGCGAACAGGAUUAGAUACCCUGGUAGUCCAUGCCGUAAACGUUGGGCACUAGGUGUGGGGGACAUUCCACGUUUUCCGCGCCGUAGCUAACGCAUUAAGUGCCCCGCCUGGGGAGUACGGCCGCAAGGCUAAAACUCAAAGGAAUUGACGGGGGCCCGCACAAGCGGCGGAGCAUGCGGAUUAAUUCGAUGCAACGCGAAGAACCUUACCAAGGCUUGACAUGAACCGGACCGCCGCAGAAAUGUGGUUUCCCCUUUGGGGUUGGUUUACAGGUGGUGCAUGGUUGUCGUCAGCUCGUGUCGUGAGAUGUUGGGUUAAGUCCCGCAACGAGCGCAACCCUCGUUCUAUGUUGCCAGCACGUGAUGGUGGGGACUCAUAGGAGACUGCCGGGGUCAACUCGGAGGAAGGUGGGGACGACGUCAAAUCAUCAUGCCCCUUAUGUCUUGGGCUUCACGCAUGCUACAAUGGCCGGUACAAAGGGUUGCGAUACUGUGAGGUGGAGCUAAUCCCAAAAAGCCGGUCUCAGUUCGGAUUGGGGUCUGCAACUCGACCCCAUGAAGUCGGAGUCGCUAGUAAUCGCAGAUCAGCAACGCUGCGGUGAAUACGUUCCCGGGCCUUGUACACACCGCCCGUCAAGUCACGAAAGUUGGUAACACCCGAAGCCGGUGGCCUAACCCCUUGUGGGAGGGAGC
rnacentral:rRNA from 1 species